rnacentral:rRNA from 1 species
GACGAACGCUGGCGGCGUGCUUAACACAUGCAAGUCGAACGAUGAAGCGGUGCUUGCACCGUGGAUUAGUGGCGAACGGGUGAGUAAUACGUGAGUGACCUACCUUUGACUCUGGGAUAAGCCUGGGAAACUGGGUCUAAUACCGGAUACGACCAAUCUCUGCAUGGGGUGUUGGUGGAAAGCGUUAUGGAGUGGUUUUAGAUGGGCUCACGGCCUAUCAGCUUGUUGGUGAGGUAAUGGCUUACCAAGGCGACGACGGGUAGCCGGCCUGAGAGGGUGACCGGCCACACUGGGACUGAGACACGGCCCAGACUCCUACGGGAGGCAGCAGUGGGGAAUAUUGCACAAUGGGCGCAAGCCUGAUGCAGCGACGCCGCGUGAGGGAUGACGGCCUUCGGGUUGUAAACCGCUUUCGCCUGUGACGAAGCGUGAGUGACGGUAAUGGGUAAAGAAGCACCGGCUAACUACGUG